UAGUCUUAUUAUAAUUAAAUGUACAUGUGAUAUAUAAAAAUAAUGAUUAUCGGAUGAUCAAAUUUCAUUGUUUGCUAUUUGUUCGUAAGACAUUUGUACCACGAUAUUUUAUCAUUAUAUUUCGCAUAGUGACAUAUCACCGUCCACAUUUCAUCGUCUAAUCUUAUUUCACAACACUUCUUUUGUAUACAUAUAUUUUACUUGUCUAAUAUAAUUGUAUACAUUCUGAUGAUAUAAUUGUACACAAGAUUGGACGAAUAAAUGGCAGACGGUGAAAUGUUCAUAAACGAAGAACAAUAUUGCGUAACUCUAUUGUUCUGGUAAAAUAGACGGACAUGUACAAAAUAGAUUUUUAUCACCAUAUAUAUCAUCUAUUCUUCCUACACUUGGCCAAAUCUUGUUGCUUCCUUUCACAAAUGGCUAAAAAAGAUAAAUAAAAUUCUAUAACACUUUUGUCCAUUCAACUAAAUAAAAUAUUUAAAAGAUACUUACAGCGGGAAAAGUCGCUAAUUCUCGUGAAUAAGUUCGAUUCCAUUCGGUUGCUAUUACUUGCUCCUGUGUGUGAGGUGCCAACUUCAAAGGAUUUUGUUUAAUAUCUAAUUUUCCUUCUUCAAUGUCCGCAAUUUCUUUUCUUAUAGCUAUCAGAAGAAACGCAAACGUAAGAGACAAAAAUAUUAUUAUCUAACUUUUUAUAUUGUUUUCAACACAACAUUGAUAAAGUUUUUUUUUUAACUUACAGAUCAGAGAAUCGCAAAAUCUAUCCAAUUCAGUCUUGUCCUCGGAUUCAGUCGGUUCGAUCAUUAAAGUACCAGCUACAGGCCAGCUCAUGGUUGGCGCGUGAAAACCAUAAUCCAUCAAUCUCUUCGCAAUAUCAACGGCCUCGACGUUGGCAGUUUUCUUCAAGUCUCUUAUGUCCAAAAUGAAUUCAUGCGCGAUCAAUCCAGUUUCACCCUUGUACAACGUGUUGUAAUGCUUCUCCAGUCUCUUGCUCAUGUAAUUGGCAUUGAGAAUGGCCACUUGCGUAGCUUUACGCAAGCCUUUUGAGCCCAUCAUCUUGAUAUAAGCCCACGAAAUGGGUAAAAUUGCGGAUGAUCCGAAAGGUGCGGCCGAUAUGGUACCAAGAUUCUUUAUAUCACCAUUGCCAUUGACAGAACAAUUUAUUAUCGGAUGAUUCGGCAAAAAAGGGGACGAACAAUACUUACACCCCGAUAGGACCCAUGCCAGGUCCACCACCUCCGUGAGGAAUACAGAAGGUCUUGUGCAAGUUGAGAUGUGACACAUCGCUCCCAUAGUCGCCUGGUCGACACAAGCCGACUUGAGCAUUCAUAUUGGCACCGUCCAAGUAUACCUGCCCGCCAGCACCAUGCACCAUGUCACAUAUGUCGCCGAUCGUCUCCUCAAAUACUCCGUUUGUCGAUGGAUACGUGAUCAUCAGGCACGAUAACGUUUGUCGAUACUUGUCGAUCAUCUCUAUCAGGUGCGCCAUGUCGACGGAGCCGUCCUUACGCACAAAGAUUGGCUCUAUCUGCAUACCUGCCAUUUGAGCAGACGCGGGAUUCGUGCCGUGCGCGGAUACCGGAAUCAAACAGACUUGCCGGUUCUUCUCGCCCUUAGAUUCAUGGUAACACUGUAUAGCUCUCAAACCCGCGUAUUCACCCUGUGCUCCGCUAUUUGGUUGAAAACUGAUACUAUCGUAGCCGGUGAUGGCACACAGAUCGUGUUCUAAUUCGGCGAAUAAUUGUUGAUAUCCUUUAGUUUGCGUGAGAGGAGCAAAGGGAUGUAUGUCCGUGAGACCUUUCAAACUGCACGGCAUCAUCUCCGUCGUUGAAUUCAGUUUCAUCGUGCAAGAACCCUUAUAUAAACGUUGAUGUUAAUUAAUUAAAUUUAUAUCAGAACGUAUUAUAUUUGUAAAAUGAGCAGCCACUUACCAAUGGAAUCAUACUAUGUACUAAAGAUACAUCUUUGUUUUCCAGAGAUUUCAUGUAUCUAACUAUCCUCGUCUCGGAAUGGUAGCUAUUGAAGACGGGAUGCUGCAAGUACGAAAUAGUACGAUGGAAGUCUGACUUAUCUAAGCUUUUCGCCAGGAAGUCUUCGUCUUUGAUAACAUCUUCAACCGUAGUAUUCGUCGAAAAUACUUUAUAAAGAUCAUUUAUGUCCUCUACCGUUGUAGUUUCAUCGAGGGAUAUUCCAAUGCUGCUUCCAAACCUUUCGUCAAAGUUAAUGUCAAAUUGUGCACUCUGUUCGCGAUGUCGCGUAUUCCCUGAGGACCAUGAUACACGGCGUACAUUGCGGACAUGUUGGCCAGCAAAGCUUGUGCGGUGCAGAUAUUGCUGGUGGCUUUGUCACGUCUGAUGUGUUGCUCGCGAGUUUGCAGAGCCAACCGAUAGGCCUCCCGUCCAUUGGAGUCCUUCGUAACGCCUAUCAUUCGACCGGGCAUUAAUCGCACCAACUUUUGCCGGCAUGCGAAGAAUGCGGCGUGAGGUCCGCCGUAUCCGAGAGGUACCCCAAAACGUUGACUCGUGCCCACGCAGACGUCGACGCCGAAUUCACUUGGUGGUUGAAGUACAGCUAACGCCAAUAAGUCAGUAGCUGCGCAGACGAGAGUCUGGAAUACAAUGUAUAUCGUUAAACUGCGAUAUAUAACGAGCAGCUGUAUUAUAAUACAUAUGAAUCAGAUACUGUUUUUUGUCAAACAUACCCCGUUCGCGUGUGCAUUUUUGACAACAUUGUCAAAAUCGUAUAUAUUGCCGGUGGUGUCAGGAUAUUGCACAAGUAUGCCUGCGAUAUCCUUCGCGCUGGUAUCCACUUUAAAUACGUCUCCAAUUUCCAGCGUUAAACCUAGGGAUGCGGCACGUGUUGCUAUCACACUGAUAGUCUGAGGAUGCACUUGGUCGGAGAGAAACAACUUUUUUCUCUUAUUAUGUCUGCAUGCAAGCGCCAAAGCCUCCGCUGCUGCAGUUCCUUCGUCCAAGAGAGAGGCAUUCGCUACUUCCAUUCCCGUGAGGUCACAUAUCAUGGUUUGGUAAUUCAAUAAGCUUUCCAGCCGUCCUUGUGAAAUCUCUGGCUGAUAGGGAGUGUAUUGCGUCGUCCUGCAUGAUUUACCAUCCUGGAUUUUCGAAGAUGUUACGCAUGAUUGCGUGGGGUACGCAGCAAUUAUGAUAUCCCAUACCUAUGUAAGAGCGCCAUACUUCAUUCUUUUCCGAAAUUUUGGUAAUCUGCUUCAUCAGAUUAUACUCGGCUAUGAAAUUAUUUUGUAUUAAUUUUAUCUUCACGAUAAUUCAAGUUCGACGCAAAUAAUAAAGGUAAUUAAAGUUUUAUACAAUGAAUUAAUAUAUAUAGAGCACGUUACACGUGUGUGCUAUUGCAAAAUGAGAUUAAAUCUGUAUGACGACAUAAACUUAAUUCUAUUUGAGAUCACGUGAAUACGAAGCGAACACACGAGAUUGAACUAUGACCUAAGAUAAGAUAAGACAGAUGGAUCAAGGGUUAUCAAUUUUAGGUCAAAUCGAAUCGUAAAGUCUCGUGAGUUGUCACGUUUCUAAAGAAUGACAAAUUUCUACAGAAUUUCUUUAUCUUAUGAGGAAAAAAAAUACAAUUGCUGUUUAUACGUUUUAUCCCACGGAAAACUUGUAAUUUUAUACAAGCAGAGACAAAGAUCCAUCAUUUUACUCCAAAGAAAUAUGAGAUUUCUAAUUAUAUUUUAAUACAAUUUAAAUAUUACAUACUGAUUAAGAGAACACAUUAUACUUACUAACUGGCGCAUCGAGAUUUAAAUCUCCCUUGUGAAGAAUUUUAGCUGGUACUGCCGCUUCUGUUAAUUCAUCAAGAUUCUGCAAUAUCGAAUUUAAAUUAAAUUAAUCUACAGUUGAUAAUUACAGCUUAUCGUUUAAAAGGCAAAUGCCGAUAUUUUUUGAAAGUUAAAUAAAUAUUUAUACUACCAAAGU